rnacentral:rRNA from 1 species
GACGAACGCUGGCGGCGCGCCUAACACAUGCAAGUCGAACGAGCGAGAGGAAGCUUGCUUUCUCGAGCGAGUGGCGAACGGGUGAGUAACGCGUGAGGAACCUGCCUCAAAGAGGGGAACAACAGUUGGAAACGACUGCUAAUACCGCAUAAGCCCACGGGUCGGCAUCGACCAGAGGGAAAAGGAGCAAUCCGCUUUGAGAUGGCCUCGCGUCCGAUUAGCUGGUUGGUGAGGUAACGGCCCACCAAGGCGACGAUCGGUAGCCGGACUGAGAGGUUGAACGGCCACAUUGGGGCUGAGACACGGCCCAGACUCCUACGGGAGGCAGCAGUGGGGAAUAUUGCACAAUGGGGGAAACCCUGAUGCAGCGACGCCGCGUGGAGGAAGAAGGUCUUCGGAUUGUAAACUCCUGUUGUUGAGGAAGAUAAUGACGGUACUCAACAAGGAAGUGACGGCUAACUACGUGCCAGCAGCCGCCGUAA